rnacentral:lncRNA from 1 species
UCACCGUGGUAUCGUACCUAAUACAGUGACUUCUGUCUCCAGGACGUUCCGGCCGCUGUACUGCCAGUCCAUGAAACUGCCCGCGCUGAACUACGCCGGGACGUGCAGCCCCUUCCACCUCCCCGCACCGCCGGGGGCGCAUAAAGAGACGUCCAGGUAACAGGGGAGGUCCCGUCACGUACCCCACACGCUCCCCCCACGUACCCUCAGCGCCCCAUCGCUCACAUGCGUGUUGUGCUCGACAGGGAGAGGAGCGACGACGUCCGUAGUGGCCGAGACAAGCCUUCGGCGUUGGUCCUUCGCACGCCGUCCCCGAAGACGCCCCGCAAAAAGGCGCUGGGCUACUGCGAGUGCUGCCAGGUCACGUUCAAAGACCAGGAGGAGCAUUUGCAGUCAGACCAGCACCAACACUUUGCGCGGGACUCUUCCAACUACGCCGUCGUGGACCAGCUGAGAGCCUCCAUGGACCCUGCGUUGGUGUUCCGGCCCCGCCCCCAACAGGAUUCGGCACCGCCCGAGUAAGGCGCUCC